GAUGAACGCUAGCGGCAGGCCUAAUACAUGCAAGCUGAACGGUAAAUGUUAUAGCAAUAUGAUAUGAGAGUAGCGUAAGGGUGCGUAACACGUAUGCAAUCUGCCCGCAACAGGGGGAUAGCUCCCCGAAGGGGGAAUUAAUACUCCAUAAUAGCACGCGAGGGCAUCUGGUUGUGAUUAAACUCCAAGGGGUUGCGGAUGUGCAUGCGUCUGCUUAGUUAGUUGGUGAGGUAACGGCUGACCAAGACGAUGAUCAGUAGGGGAACUGAGAGGUUGAUCCCCCACACUGGCACUGAGAUACGGGCCAGACUCCUACGGGAGGCAGCAGUAGGGAAUAUUGGUCAAUGGGUGAGAGCCUGAACCAGCCAUGCCGCGUGCAGGAAGACGGCCUUCUGGGUUGUAAACUGCUUUUGUCAGGGGAUAAAAUACCCGUGCGCGGGGAAUUGAAGGUACCUGAUGAAUAAGCCACGGCUAACUACGUGCCAGCCGCCGCAGUAACAC
rnacentral:rRNA from 1 species